UGAGUAAUUCUAUAACACUAUAGAAAAUUUUAUGUUAAAACUAGUAACAAGAAGAAGAACCUUCUCUUUAAUGUAAGUGUAAAUCAAAAUGGACAAACCACUGAUAAUUAACACCUAUGAACCUAAAGUAGUAACAAACCAAGAAAAAUCUACUCUCACCAACGUUAAUCUAACACAAGAACAUUAUAAGAAAGAUUUAAAAAAUAAGAAGGAACUCGGCAAAUCUUAGCCUCGCCUGUUUACCAAAAACAUCGCCUCUUGAAUUUUAAAUAAGAGGUCCAGCCUGCCCAGUGACUCUGUUCAACGGCCGCGGUAUCCUAACCGUGCGAAGGUAGCGUAAUCACUUGUUCUUUAAAUAAGGACUAGUAUGAAUGGCAUCACGAAGGCUAUACUGUCUCCUUUUUUUGAUCAGUGAAACUAAUCUUCCCGUGAAGAAGCGGGAAUAAACAUAUAAGACGAGAAGACCCUAUGGAGCUUUAAACAACAUAGCACUUACCACGCAUACAAAAAUUUAUGUAUUACAAAACUCACCAGGUAAAAUGUCUAUAAGUUUUUGGUUGGGGUGACCACGGAGCACAACAUAACCUCCAUGUUGAAAGAACACCAUUCUUAACAAAGAACUACUUUUCUAAGUAUCAACAUUUUGACAUCCAUUGACCCAAUGAUUUUGAGCAACGAACCAAGUUACCCUAGGGAUAACAGCGCAAUCCACUUUAAGAGCCCCUAUCGACAAGUGGGUUUACGACCUCGAUGUUGGAUCAGGGKUUSGCAAUGUGAGUGCAGCCGCUACUAAAGGUUCGUUUGUUCAACGAUUAAAACCCUACGUGAUCU
rnacentral:rRNA from 1 species